rnacentral:rRNA from 1 species
CCUACGGGAGGCAGCAGUGGGGGAUAUUGCACAAUGGGGGGAACCCUGAUGCAGCGACGCCGCGUGGGUGAAGGAGCGUUUCGGCGCGUAAAGCCCUAUCGGCAGGGAAGAAGGAGGACGGUACCUGACUAAGAGGCCCCGGCUAACUACGUGCCAGCAGCCGCGGUAAUACGGAGGGGGCAAGCGUUAUCCGGAUUUACUGGGUGUAAAGGGGGCGCAGACGGCAGGGCAAGCGAGGAGUGAAAGCCCGGGGCCCAACCCCGGGACUGCUCUUGGUACUGAGCGGCGGGAGUGCGGGAGGGGCAGGCAGAAUUCCUGGUGUAGCGGUGAAAUGCGUAGAGAUCAGGAGGAACACCGGUGGCGAAGGCGGCCUGCUGGACUGCGACUGACGUUGAGGCGCGAAAGCGUGGGGAGCAAACAGGAUUAGAUACCCGAGUAGUC